CGGAUUGCGGGUGCUAUACAUGCAAGUCGAACGCACUCUCGUUUAGAUUGAAGGAGCUUGCUCCUGAUUGAUAAACAUUUGAGUGAGUGGCGGACGGGUGAGUAACACGUGGGUAACCUGCCCUAAAGUGGGGGAUAACAUUUGGAAACAGAUGCUAAUACCGCAUAAAACCUAGCACCGCAUGGUGCAGGGUUGAAAGAUGGUUUCGGCUAUCACUUUAGGAUGGACCCGCGGUGCAUUAGUUAGUUGGUGAGGUAAAGGCUCACCAAGACCGUGAUGCAUAGCCGACCUGAGAGGGUAAUCGGCCACACUGGGACUGAGACACGGCCCAGACUCCUACGGGAGGCAGCAGUAGGGAAUCUUCCACAAUGGACGAAAGUCUGAUGGAGCAACGCCGCGUGAGUGAAGAAGGUUUUCGGAUCGUAAAACUCUGUUGUUGGAGAAGAAUGUAUCUGAUAGUAACUGAUCAGGUAGUGACGGUAUCCAACCAGAAAGCCACGGCUAACUACGUGCCAGCAGCCGCGGUAAUACGUAGGUGGCAAGCGUUGUCCGGAUUUAUUGGGCGUAAAGCGAGCGCAGGCGGUUUCUUAAGUCUGAUGUGAAAGCCUUCGGCUCAACCGAAGAAGUGCAUCGGAAACUGGGAAACUUGAGUGCAGAAGAGGACAGUGGAACUCCAUGUGUAGCGGUGAAAUGCGUAGAUAUAUGGAAGAACACCAGUGGCGAAGGCGGCUGUCUGGUCUGUAACUGACGCUGAGGCUCGAAAGCAUGGGUAGCAAACAGGAUUAGAUACCCUGGUAGUCCAUGCCGUAAACGAUGAGUGCUAGGUGUUGGAGGGUUUCCGCCCUUCAGUGCCGCAGCUAACGCAUUAAGCACUCCGCCUGGGGAGUACGACCGCAAGGUUGAAACUCAAAGGAAUUGACGGGGGCCCGCACAAGCGGUGGAGCAUGUGGUUUAAUUCGAAGCAACGCGAAGAACCUUACCAGGUCUUGACAUCCUUUGACACUCUAGAGAUAGAGCUUUCCCUUCGGGGACAAAGUGACAGGUGGUGCAUGGUUGUCGUCAGCUCGUGUCGUGAGAUGUUGGGUAAGUCCGCACGAGCGCACCCUUAUACUAGUGCAGCAUAGUGGGCACUCUAGUGAGACUGCGUGACAACGAGAGGUGGGACGACGUCAAUCAUCAUGCCUUAUGACUGGCUACACACGUGCUACAAUGGAUGGU
rnacentral:rRNA from 1 species